rnacentral:rRNA from 1 species
AUUGAACGCUGGCGGCAGGCCUAACACAUGCAAGUCGAACGAGUGGCGGACGGGUGAGUAAUGUCUGGGACACUGCCUGAUGGAGGGGGAUAACUACUGGAAACGGUAGCUAAUACCGCAUACCAUCGGAUGUGCCCAGCUGGGAUUCGCUAGUCGGUGGGGUAAAGGCUCACCUAGGCGACGCGCCCUAGCUGGUCUGAGAGGAUGACCAGCCACACUGGAACUGGGACACGGUCCAGACUCCUACGGGAGGCAGAAGUGGGGAAUAUUGCACAAUGGGCGAAAGCCUGAUGCAGCCAUGCCGCGUGUAUGAAGAAGGCCUUCGGGUUGUAAAGUACUUUCAGCGGGGAGGCGUUACCCGCAGAAGAAGCACCGGCUAACUCCGUGCCAGCAGCCGCGGUAAUUC